rnacentral:lncRNA from 1 species
ACGGCGGGAGCUCGGGACCAUGGUGGCGGCGGCGCUGAGAGGCCCUGCCAGGAAGGAGUCCAUGGCGGGCAGCGGGCGGCCAGCCGCCGCCGUGUGCUGGGCGCGCUAGGGUGCUCGCAGAGGUGGUGGCACCGGAGUGGUGUAAGGAGGUGCGGGUCAGAUCUAAAUCCCCUUAGAUUCGAUUUGGGCCUUAGGGCUGAUUUCAUUGCGCGGCAGUCCCCUGGUGCGGGUGAAGGCCGUCGUGGUGGAUUUGGCUCUUGCACGGUGUGGUUGGCUGCUGCGGAUCCUCAUCUGGGUGGAUGGUGGCUGUUGGGUCGCGUUCUCUCGGCAGUGCGGGUGUGGGAGGACCUCGGCUGCGCGGCUUCAACGGCAAGUUGCUGCGGUGACAGCGGUGCGAGGCUUCAUGGACGGUACUGCCUAAACCUUGGAGGUGUGGAGAUGGUGGCAUUACGAAUGAAAAUCCUG